rnacentral:lncRNA from 1 species
AAGAACCAAAAAAGAAAAAGCAAAUAGAGAAAUGGAGAAUAAAAUCAGAGAACAAAGAAAUAAAACAAGAGAGGAAGAAAAGAACAUGGAAAGUGGGGGAGGAAGAAGAAGGAAAGAGAGAAGGAAGAAGGCAACAAUGGUGAGAAUCACUGCCACUGAUGUUGUUCCCGAGAUAGAGGGAAAGUAAGGGGGAUGAAGGUUGAAAGAGAGCAUGAAGGUGAGAUAGAAAGGGAGAGCGAUGGGUUGCUGAUAGGCCAUCGCGGAUGUGGCUCACUUUGUCAACCCGCUGUCGUUGCUGCUACUAGAGAGGAG